CCUACGGGCGGCAGCAGUGGGGAAUAUUGCACAAUGGGGGAAACCCUGAUGCAGCAACGCCGCGUGAGUGAAGAAGUAUUUCGGUAUGUAAAGCUCUAUCAGCAGGGAAGAGAAUGACGGUACCUGACUAAGAAGCCCCGGCUAACUACGUGCCAGCAGCCGCGGUAAUACGUAGGGGGCGAGCGUUAUCCGGAUUUACUGGGUGUAAAGGGAGCGUAGACGGUUCUGCAAGUCUGAAGUGAAAGCCCGUGGCUUAACCGCGGAACGGCUUUGGAAACUGUGGAACUGGAGUGCUGGAGAGGCAAGCGGAAUUCCUAGUGUAGCGGUGAAAUGCGUAGAUAUUAGGAGGAACACCAGUGGCGAAGGCGACUAUCUGGCUGUACAUUGACGCUGAGGCUCGAAAGCAUGGGGAUCAAACAGGAUUAGAUACCCCAGUAGUC
rnacentral:rRNA from 1 species